UUUUUAGUUCAGUUUUGUGUCGUCUGUUCUGUCACUGAUAAAUGAUACACAGCAGCCUGUUUGUCAGCGAUGGGGAAUAUACAACAGAGAAAGCUUUGCUAUUUUAUCCUGGUCUCUCUAUGUUUGACCUGUACUCCACCUGCUGCAGAUGGUCAGAUCAGACUGGCUGGGUCUGGGUCUAGUCACUGUGCUGGGAGAGUUGAAAUCUAUUACAACAACAUCUGGG